AACUUUCAUGCUCACCCUUGCUAUAUCAUGAUAAAACAUUGCAGAUAAGGCGAAUACAGCCAGAUACAGAAAAAGGAUAAUGCCAAGUUCAGCUUGGUACAGAAUGUGAAGUUAAGUUGUAAAGUAUGUUGAAGAAUAGUAUUGUCAUGUGCUAGAUAGUUCAUGAUUAUGUAUAAGUGAAGGUUACUCGAUUCUGGGGAAAUGUGUG
rnacentral:lncRNA from 1 species